GUGCUCACCUUGGCAGCACAAAUACUAAAAUGGAAGCAACACAGAAAAGGUUAGCCCCUGAACAGGCAUGGACACACACUUGUGAGACGUUCCAUAUUUUU
rnacentral:snRNA from 1 species